AUUGAAGCUGUGUGUACGGUAUACUGUCCAUGUCCAGAAAGACUCAUGCAGGAAUGAAAUGUGCUGCUCAGACAUGCAGUGUAUGACAGGUUGAGUCCGCUGCGGCUUUCUUUGGAACCAUUUUUUGUUGGCGAGGUAAAAAUGGUAACUAAAGAUUGUGUAAAUUUCAUGGAGACCCACAUUCAAGGGAAGAUCCGAUUCCUUGCGUUACUGGAGAAAAAACCUUCAGGUCUUUAGGAACCGGAAGCAGUUCGAAUGAGACUGGACCAACCUGAAAUAUACAGUAUAGCUCCACAAGUUACCAGCCACCACAGCACGGGACCCUCGCCUUCUGUUUUGUUGUUUUGAUGCGGACAUUAUUUUGCUCUGUUUUGACUUCUACUGGUUUAUGCUUUUAUCAGAUCGAGUUUCACACAUUAACAGUGUACAGUAGGUUUGUCUUGGUAACUGUCAUGUGCAUCAAAAGUAACUCCUACACUUAUUUAUUUCCUCACUCCGAACUGUCAGCAUUUGUGCAUUGUGCCUUCGCUUCGUUUGAUUUGUUUCUGAACAGGGCAGUGAAUGGCGUUUCUCCAGUGUGCAUUCUUUUGUGUUUCAUUUCCUUCUCCCUCACAGAGAGAUAAGGGAGCAGUGACUCUUCACAGUGUGAGCGCUUGUAAGGUCUGGCUUCAGUACAUGGAUUUGAUGGAUAUCUCACUCAUAUGUGUCAAGAGUGAAGUUUUGCGUUGCUAUUGUUAUUGUGAAUGAUUCAUCUGUACAUCUUGUUCCUAAAGAGAGUACUGUUUUCAUUAAUCUUCAGUGUACUUUGACUUGUAGUAUUGAUUUGCAGCUGAUGUUAACCUGCUCCUCACACUAUCUUUUCAUUUAGAUCAUUUUGUACAGUCCAUGGGGAUCCCUAUUAUAAUAUUUAUACAUUAACAUAGUUAGACAACGCACACAAAGAUUACUUGAGGGAAAAACAGAUACUGUCCAUCAAAUAUUACUGCAUUUCAAGCAAUAGUAGGAAAGAAAUAUUUUGUGUGUGUGUUUGUGUGUGAAAGUACAGAAGUACUUGCUUUUAAAAGUGCCAAUUUACCAAAAGUACAUUUCCUUUAUGUAAUACUUGCAAAACUUGUAUGCCUUUGAAGCAACUUACAAUCCAUUAUGUCUA